UACGGAGGGUGCAAGCGUUAUCCGGAUUCACUGGGUUUAAAGGGUGCGUAGGUGGGUCUGUAAGUCAGUGGUGAAAUCUCCGGGCUUAACCCGGAAACUGCCAUUGAUACUAUAGGUCUUGAAUUUUCUGGAGGUUAGCGGAAUAUGUCAUGUAGCGGUGAAAUGCUUAGAUAUGACAUAGAACACCAAUUGCGAAGGCAGCUAACUACAGGGAUAUUGACACUGAGGCACGAAAGCGUGGGAUCAAACAGG
rnacentral:rRNA from 1 species